GACGAACGCUGGCGGCGUGCUUAACACAUGCAAGUCGAACGGAAAGGCCCUGCUUUUGUGGGGUGCUCGGGUGGCGAACGGGUGAGUAACACGUGAGUAACCUGCCCUUGACUUUGGGAUAACUUCAGGAAACUAGGGCUAAUACCGGAUAGGAGCUCCUGCUGCAUGGUGGGGGGUGGAAAGUUUUGGCGGUUGGGGAUGUACUCGCGGAUUAUCGGCUUGUUGGUGGGGUAGUGGCUAACCAAGGCUUUGACGGGUAGCCGGCCUGAGAGGUUGACCGGCCACAUUGGGACUGAGAUACGGCCCAGUCUCCUAUGGGCGACAGCAGUGGGGAAGCUUGCACAAUAGGCGGAAACCAAAUGCAGCAACGCCGCGUGCGGGAUGACGACCUUCGGUUUGAAUACGAGUUUGGACUGUGACGAAGCGUGAGUGGCGGUAAUGGGUAAAGAAGCACCGGCUAAGUACGUG
rnacentral:rRNA from 1 species